UAAGACGUAGGGAGCGAGCGUUGUCCGGAUUCAUUGGGCGUAAAGAGCGCGCAGGCGGUUUGGUAAGUCGGAUGUGAAAGCCCGGGGCUCAACCCCGGACCUGCAUCCGAUACUGCCCGACUAGAGGUAGGUAGGGGAGAUCGGAAUUCCUGGUGUAGCGGUGAAAUGCGCAGAUAUCAGGAGGAACACCGGUGGCGAAGGCGGAUCUCUGGGCCUUACCUGACGCUCAGGCGCGAAAGCUAGGGGAGCGAACAGGAUUAGAUACCCUGGUAGUCCUAGCCGUAAACGUUGGGUGCUAGGUGUGGGGGGACAUCGACCCCCUCCGUGCCGAAGCUAACGCAUUAAGCACCCCGCCUGGGGAGUACGGCCGCAAGGCUA
rnacentral:rRNA from 1 species